rnacentral:tRNA from 2 species
GUGGAUGUGGCGGAAUGGUAGACGCUGCAGACUUAAAAUCUGUUGCCCGUCAGGGCGUGCGGGUUCGAGUCCCGCCAUCCGCACCA